CCUACGGGCGGCAGCAGUAGGGAAUAUUGCUCAAUGGGGGAAACCCUGAAGCAGCAACGCCGCGUGGAGGAUGACGGUUUUAGGAUUGUAAACUCCUUUUGUUAGAGAAGAUUAUGACGGUACCUAACGAAUAAGCACCGGCUAACUCCGUGCCAGCAGCCGCGGUAAUACGGAGGGUGCAAGCGUUACUCGGAAUCACUGGGCGUAAAGAGUGCGUAGGCGGGGUAAUAAGUCAGAUGUGAAAUCCUGUAGCUUAACUACAGAACUGCAUUUGAAACUGUUACUCUGGAGUGUGGGAGAGGUAGGUGGAAUUCGUGGUGUAGGGGUGAAAUGCGUAGAGAUCAAGAGGAAUACUGAGUGCGAAGGCGACCUGCUGGAGCGUUACUGACGCUGAUGCACGAAAGCGUGGGGAGCAAACAGGAUUAGAUACCCGGGUAGUC
rnacentral:rRNA from 1 species